rnacentral:rRNA from 1 species
AGUCGAACGGUCAGUAGCAAUACUGAUAGUGGCGCACGGGUGCGUAACACGUAACUAACCUACCUAUAACUGGGGGAUAGCCCGCCGAAAGGCGGAUUAAUACCGCAUAAGCUAGUUGACUCGGCAUCGGGUUAUUAGUAAAGAUUUAUUGGUUAUAGAUGGGGUUGCGGGUCAUUAGCUAGUUGGUAAGGUAACGGCUUACCAAGGCGACGAUGACUAGGGGAGCUGAGAGGCUGGUCCCCCACACGGGCACUGAGAUACGGGCCCGACUCCUACGGGAGGCAGCAGUAGGGAAUAUUGGGCAAUGGGCGAGAGCCUGACCCAGCCAUGCCGCGUGCAGGAAGAAGGCUUUCUGAGUCGUAAACUGCUUUUGACAGGGAAGAAUAAGCGCUACGUGUAGCGUGAUGACGGUACCUGCAGAAUAAGCACCGGCUAACUCCGUGCCAGCAGCCGCGGUAAUACGGAGGGUGCGAGCGUUGUCCGGAUUUAUUGGGUUUAAAGGGUGCGUAGGCGGCUUUUUAAGUCUGGGGUGAAAGCCCGCUGCUCAACAGCGGAACUGCCCUGGAUACUGGAGAGCUUGAGUACAGACGAGGUUGGCGGAAUGGACUGAGUAGCGGUGAAAUGCAUAGAUACAGUCCAGAACCCCGAUUGCGAAGGCAGCUGACUAGGCUGUUACUGACGCUGAGGCACGAAAGCGUGGGGAGCGAACAGGAUUAGAUACCCUGGUAGUCCACGCCGUAAACGAUGGAUACUCGCUGCGAGCUAAAGAUUGUUCGUGGCUUAGGGAAACCGAUAAGUAUCCCACCUGGGGAGUACGCUCGCAAGAGUGAAACUCAAAGGAAUUGAC